rnacentral:misc_RNA from 1 species
UCUCCAAUUACAAGGUCAGACGGGUUCUCGCCGCACCGCCCUAAAUGCUUUCCAAGCUAUCACAUCUACUUUUCACCUUGCCAUCAAGUUCCCCACCGAUCUUGGGGUCGGCACCGUGAGGGGAGAACAGACCGUGGCCAGAGAAUGUUAUGUUGCCUCACUUAAAGAAGUCAAGCUCAGGGAGGCUAUGAUCAUUGAAGGACUUGACGGCAGAGACGAGGACGAGCUGGUCAGAGGGAAACCAAUGGAAGAGCUUGUCGAGGUCCUCAUCGAUCCCAUUAACCCGGCCAAAACUGCCAAGAUCAACAACCAACUAUCCCUUAGGCCAAGGCCGACCUUACCGCCCUCUUGAUUGAGCACAACGAUGUAUUUGCAUGGACCCACUCCGAUAUG